rnacentral:rRNA from 1 species
GAUGAACGCUAGCGGCAGGCCUAACACAUGCAAGUCGAGGGGUAGAGGAAGCUUGCUUCCUUGAGACCGGCGCACGGGUGCGUAACGCGUAUGCAAUCUACCUUUUACAGAGGGAUAGCCCAGAGAAAUUUGGAUUAAUACCUCAUAGUAUCUUUGCCUGGCAUCGGGUGAUUAUUAAAGUUCCAACGGUAAAAGAUGAGCAUGCGUCCUAUUAGCUAGAUGGUAAGGUAACGGCUUACUAUGGCAACGAUAGGUAGGGGUCCUGAGAGGGAGAUCCCCCACACUGGUACUGAGACACGGACCAGACUCCUACGGGAGGCAGCAGUGAGGAAUAUUGGACAAUGGGCGCAAGCCUGAUCCAGCCAUGCCGCGUGCAGGAAGACGGUCCUAUGGAUUGUAAACUGCUUUUGUACGGGAAGAAACACUCCUACGUGUAGGAGCUUGACGGUACCGUAAGAAUAAGGAUCGGCUAACUCCGUGCCAGCAGCCGCCGUAACAC